rnacentral:rRNA from 1 species
UGAGUUUGAUCAUGGCUCAGAAUGAACGCUGGCGGUAUGCUUAACACAUGCAAGUCGAACGAAUCUUUCGGGAUUAGUGGCGGACGGGUGAGUAACGCGUGAGAACCUGCCUUUGAGAUGGGGACAACAGUUGGAAACGACUGCUAAUACCCAAUACGCCGAGAGGUAAAAGAUUUAUCGCUCAGAGAGGGGCUCGCGUCCGAUUAGCUAGUUGGUGGGGUAAAGGCUUACCAAGGCAGCGAUCGGUAGCUGGUCUGAGAGGACGAGCAGCCACACUGGGACUGAGACACGGCCCAGACUCCUACGGGAGGCAGCAGUGGGGAAUUUUCCGCAAUGGGCGAAAGCCUGACAGAGCAAUACCGCGUGGGGGAAGAAGGCUUUUGGGUUGUAAACCUCUUUUCUCAGGGAAGAAAAAAAAUGACGGUACCUGAGGAAUAAGCAUCGGCUAACUCCGUGCCAGCAGUCGCGGUAAUACGGAGGAUGCAAGCGUUAUUCGGAAUUAUUGGGCGUAAAGCGUCCGCAGGUGGUACUUCAAGUCUGCUGUCAAAGACCGAAGCUCAACUUCGGGUAGGCAGUGGAAACUGGAGAACCAGAGUACGGUAGGGGUAGAGGGAAUUUCCAGUGUAGCGGUGAAAUGC